rnacentral:pre_miRNA from 1 species
UCGUGAAGGCUAAGUGGAGAAGAGAGAGAGUACAGCUUUGGCCGGCCGGUACUUGCUUAAUUAGUCAGAUCGAUCGAUCGAUCGAGGCUGUACCCUCUCUCUUCUUCUCUUAGUUUUUCGAUG